CCUACGGGGGGCAGCAGUGAGGAAUAUUGGUCAAUGGCCGGAAGGCUGAACCAGCCAAGCCGCGUGCGGGAGGAAGGCGCAGAGCGUCGCAGACCUCUUUUGCCGGGGGACAAAAGGCCGGACUCGUCCGGUCCUGAGGGUACCCGGAGAAAAAGCAUCGGCUAACUCCGUGCCCGCAGCCGCGGUAAUACGGAGGAUGCGAGCGUUAUCCGGAUUUAUUGGGUUUAAGGGGUGCGCGGGCGGGCCUUUAAGCCGGCGGGGAAAUCGCGGGGCUAAACCCGGCAGCGCCGUCGGAACUGGGGUGCUUGAGUGCGGCGAAGGUAUGCGGAAUGCGCGGUGUAGCGGUGAAAUGCAUAGAUAUCGCGCAGAACCCCGAUUGCGAAGGCAGCGUGCCGUGGCGCCACUGACGCUGAGGCACGAAAGCGCGGGGAUCGAACAGGAUUAGAUACCCUUGUAGUC
rnacentral:rRNA from 1 species